rnacentral:sRNA from 1 species
CAUACUUGAUAGGGUCGAAAAUUAAUAUUUCGAUGUGUUGCAAACGGAAUGACAAAAUUAAUAUACCCCCACUCUUUGCUGGUGUGUAUAAAAGCAUAAAGUGGAUAGGCCCCAUGAAUAUCAUAAAGAUUGUCAAAAUCUGACUAUUGUGAAUGUUAACAAAUGUCAGUAAACAUUUUUUUCUCUUACAAAAUUCAGCAUAUUACACAUCCACACAUUAUUUUCUCUUUUUGUUUCGCAUCUUUUCCAAAUACCCAUUAUGUCGGCUGAUCGCUUGGCUUAACCCUGUUAAGUGAAUCCUGCUUCUACAUAAAAUGGGACCAAAAAGUCUGCUAAGCAAAGACACUUAAGGGUUAAAAUGUUACACAAAAAUAUCCCACCAGAUGGCAGCAGUAAAAGUUGAAUACACUUUAAGUCGCAAAUUUCUUUGCUUUUCAAUGUUGGUUGACAAGCACGGCUAAAUUAUUUAAAGGUUGUCUCAUCAACAUAAUAACCAUAUGGUAAACGCGCCAUCUUGUCAUCAAGCUGAACGAUGUUUUGCCACCACGCACAAAGCAUUUUGUGUACGUGUGUGUGUACCUGUGCAGAAAGAUUGCGUACAUGAGCGGGAAAUAUGCGAGAAAGAAGAUAACACCAAAGAGAAUGCAAACAAAAAUCUGAAAUCUUAAUAAGUGUGUUCGUAUACUCAAAAAUUUGUGUAAAUUUGUACAAAUUGUCACUGAAAGUCGUUCGCGUACUUUAUUUGCCAGCAGAAGAGAGUGUUACAGUGCGUGAGAGCAAACUAAAUGCUGAGAGUUUGGCAAUUGAGAGCUUACAAAUUACUACUGGACUUUUUAUCCCAGCAGAAAUUUAAUUCAAAGAGAGUAAAGAUUAUUCUCCUCCAUUACUGGAGAAGUACGAGAACAGACUUAAUACCGUCAAAUCUGGCCAACUAUUAACCGCCUUGGCUGACAAGGAUCAAACUAACAACAAAAACCAAAUAUCAUAUUGGUCAAUUGACAGCGAUCAUUCACAAUAGAUCGUGUGGAAAGUGUUUGUUAUCAACGAGCUGUAUUUUAUAUACAUAUGCAUAAAUAGUUAGGAUUGGAGCCAAUAUGCGGUCAUGAAAUUUCGUAUAUUCCCUUACCCAGGAAUUACAAUUGUAAAUAUAAACGGCAUGCACAUUUUCA